rnacentral:lncRNA from 10 species
ACAGAUAGUAUUUCUAUUUGACUAGGCUAUUUUGUGGUAAUAAAUUUUGGGGUCUCCUCUUACCCAGGAAUGGUUAAUGUGUUGCCACUCUAAGUAUAAACAACUAUUAUGGUGCCAACUUCAUAAUUAUCUUAACCAAUCCUUGGUGGUGGGAGUUAAAAUAGAGCACACAGUCAGGGACCCAUUAACCUACCACCAACCCAGAGUGACACGGGACUAGUUCCUUCUCGGUAUUUUCUUGGCGACAGCAGCUGGCACCAUAGGAAGCCCAGGCCCAGGCUUGAGGAGCACAGAGCGUAUCAGGGAGGCAGACGUGGAUAUGGUUCAAGGAUUCACUGUAGAACUCGACACUCAGUAGUGCACGUGAAGGUGCCUUCCUGGGCUUUGCUUUUCUGAGUAAGGGAAGGAAGGAAGCAGCUGUUUUCAUGUUGGUCUCAGAAGGCUUGGGCUUUGUGGACUGACUGGAGGCUGACUGGGCCAGGCCAUGGCCUCUCUGUCCUCACCUUUAACCAAAGCAGUUUCACUUUCUUCUAUGUUACAUAGUAUGAUCAAAGAUUUUUUUUUUUUUUUAAAGGGGAUUUUGCUGCUGAAAAAGGAGGGAAGGACAAGAAGUAGGCAGACUAGGGGGCCUGAGGCAAGUGGGCUGACCUUUUAUCUGAAUCUAUUCAUACAAAGGUUUGGUGUGAGAAACAUCCUUGUAUUACAGCUGAGGAGAGCCCCCCAGCUCCCACCCUGAUUCUACAGUGGGGAGUAACUGUUGAGAUGGGCCAGGCCCUGACGCUGGCUUUACGUUUGCACAGUCCUGGGCAGGGCUUCUACCUUCUGAGCGCUUCCUCAUCAGUGAACUGGGUACACCCACACGGGGUUCUCGUGUUGCUUAAAUUAGCGAAUGUGUGAAAGAUCCAGUGUAGGGUCUGGCUCACCGCAGGCUCACUGAUGGCUAUGGCGAUUGUCAGGGUCACAGGGCCUCCGCUGAAAGGUGAUACCUGGUUCAGGGUCAG